CCUACGGGAGGCAGCAGUGAGGAAUAUUGGUCAAUGGGCGCGAGCCUGAACCAGCCAAGUAGCGUGAAGGAUGACUGCCCUACGGUUUGUAAACUUCUUUUAUAAAGGAAUAAAGUGAGGCACGUGUGCCUUUUUGUAUGUACUGUAUGAAUAAGGAUCGGCUAACUCCGUGCCAGCAGCCGCGGUAAUACGGAGGAUCCGAGCGUUAUCCGGAUUUAUUGGGAUUAAAGGGAGCGUAGAUGGGUUGUUAAGACAGUUGUGAAAGUUUGGGGCUCAACCGUAAAAUUGCAAUUGAUACUGGCAGUCUUGAGUGCAGUUGAGGUAGGAGGAAUUCGUGGUGUAGCAGUGAAAUGCUUAGAUAUCACGAAGAACUCCGAUUGCGAAGGCAGCUUACUAAGCUGCCACUGACAUUGAUGCUCGAAAGUGUGGGUAUCAAACAGGAUUAGAUACCCCAGUAGUC
rnacentral:rRNA from 1 species